AACGAACGCUGGCGGCAGGCUUAACACAUGCAAGUCGAACGGGCGUAGCAAUGCGUCAGUGGCGGACGGGUGAGUAACACGUGGGAAUAUGCCUUUCGGUUCGGAACAACUCGGGGAAACCCGUGCUAAUUCCGGAUACGCCCUUACGGGGAAAGAUUUAUCGCCGAAAGAUUAGCCCGCGUUGGAUUAGCUAGUUGGUGAGGUAAGGGCUCACCAAGGCGACGAUCCAUAGCUGGUUUGAGAGAACGACCAGCCACACUGGGACUGAGACACGGCCCAGACUCCUACGGGAGGCAGCAGUGGGGAAUCUUGGACAAUGGGCGCAAGCCUGAUCCAGCCAUGCCGCGUGAGUGAUGAAGGCCUU
rnacentral:rRNA from 1 species